CAACCAAACGAAGCUCAGAUCCGUCGCAGCUGCUCUCCAAAUGUUAGCGCCCGCGUGGGGCAAAGCUUGAAACCCACCAGGCUUCAGGAGAGCCAUUUUCAGCCACAUUUCCCCCCGAGCACUCUUAGGAACCUGGCAACAGGUAACGUGGCAACCUCUGACUUCUAAAAGGCGAGUGGGAUAAUUUCAGGGAACGAAUGGAUUGUUGUCGAGCCAGCUGCAUCUCUCCUAACUGCCCCCGCACCCAACCUCCUCCCUCCCAAUACAAAAGUCUGGGAAAACAAACUUAAGUGCUGCAGGCUGUCCUGCUCUUGCGCGUCCCCUGGUGGCCAACAUCGGAACAACAUGCACGUGUUCGGAACUCCGCCGGCAGUUCCUGCUGAAAAUGUCCUGGUUUGGAUGACAAGCUAAGUGGCCACUGUACUCCUCUCCAUAGUUCCUGAGCCUGUGGGAAGAUGAACACAGAUGGGGCCUUCUGUGACCAGGGUUCCAAGCAGCUGCGAGUUGACUACUGUGGUUUCUGGGAACCAAACUCAGGUGUUCUGAUGGAGUAAGAUGUAUUCUUAACUUUGAAGCCAUCUCUCCAGUCCCUGCGGAGUCCUUAUUCACCCAGUUCUACCUGCCUGUAUGAAUAUGCCUCAUGUCUGAAUAUUCCCUGACUACCAUGACUAUGUGUCAGUCUGAGAAAAGAUAAGGAGAAAGACAGGUAUGAAAGACAGGGCAAGAAUCAUAUUUUCAAUGAAGUCAAGGAAAAUGUUUGGCUGGUUGACAGGGGCUCCUUGGAGUCAGUCAGAAAAGAGAGGACUUUAGAGAAGAUGGUAAGAAAGGCUUGUGGAUCUUUCUGGUAAGUAAAAAGCCUCACCUUCCCCUGUGUAUUUCUGGGGGGAGGAGGUGCACUUCAUUACUUUUAUCCUACCCACUGCAGAAGGAAUCUCUCUCUCUCUCUCUCUCUCUCUCUCUCUCUCUCUCUCUCUCUCUCUCUUAAAAAACAAAAACACUA